rnacentral:misc_RNA from 1 species
ACAUCGCGUCGCCACACCUCGACUCUCCUCCGCUCUUCCCCGCUCUCCCCAUCUGACCCCCCUCCUGCCUACUGCCUCCUCUCUCCUCGUCCGCUGUGCUGCGUCGUCUGGGCCCCACCCCCACCCCUGCCUUUGCCUCUCCCGUCUGCCUCGGCGUCGCCCUUCUCAGUCUCUCGCUCUUGUGCGUUCUCGCCCAUGGCGUACAAUAUCACCGUCAUUGUCUACGUGGUCGUGCAGUUCGUGGCGUUCCUUCUGGUGCUGGUGGGAACGCCCUCUGACAUGUUUCUCCUUCCCGACACUGCUGUGGGGGCAGUUUGCUUUUCCUUGUGGGGAUAUAGGCUCACAUGCAGUUCUUCUGGGUAUUAUAAGUAUGUAGGGAAGCAAUGGCAAGAUUGCCCUCCACGCAUCACCCGAUUCCGCGUUGCGCAGGGAUGCGCCAUCAUCUCCAUCCUAGUGUACGGCGGAGCGUUCAUGCUGGGCUUUAUUUUGCUGUUCUGCUGCUCUUUGCUCCGGUGGGUCUGCCUGGCGCUCAACGUGGUCGGCAUGGUCACCUCGUGCAUUGUGUGGGCGGCCAUGGCGAGGACAUACAACCAGUAUGAUGGGAUACUUUGUUUUCCUGUAAAACGAUUCGGUAAAUAUGCCGCCGGGUUUGUUCUCUUUGUGAUCGCCUGGAUACUGGAUAUCAUCAACAUCAUCUUGUUGCUGCUUCCCUGCACGAUCACCGACGCUCCACAGGAUAAGACAGAGGAGCCACCGACAGCGCAGGAGUAGGAUAGAGGUAGGACAAGUGAGAGGAGGGCGAGCUUGGAAACGGCGCGGCCCCUCCCCCACACCGGCGUCCUCGUGGUGGAGCCGGUGUCGGCGAGGAUGAGGGUGCGCAAGCUGCGGGUUCCCGUGUGUGCCCUUCGCCGGCCCAGCCCUCUCGCUCCCUGUCGUGCGCGCGUGCGUGUGCGCGGGCAGCAGCGGCACCGCCGUGCACAGGCACCGCUGCCAAGGGGGCGAUUGCAGCACUUCCCGCAUGCCUGCGUGUGAUACACGGCGGCUGCGUGUGUGCAGGCGCAUGCGCCCCUGUGCCCCUCCUCCCCCUUGUUCCGUGAGCGGCCCCCGCGACCAUCGCUCACUUACGCUGCCGUUGUUCGCGGGUGCCGCCCCACGCUCUCGCCUUACUCGACGCUCGUCUCUUUCGAGCUCGCUCAUGCUUGCUGUUCUCUCCUGCGCGCAGAGAGAGGUGCGUGGCGUGUGCGUGUGCGUGCGCCUCUGCGCCUCCCUCCGCUGCUCGCACCCUCCCUGUGCGCGUGUGUGCUGGCGGAGGCGGCUGGCUGUGGCGACGACGCAGGCACGGGCAGCAGCCGUGCAGCACAGCAGGCGCGUACACGCAUACACACCUAUACACGCGGGAACGGGACUGCAGGCGAGGGGCAGGACCGGAGAAUGCGCGGCGGCACGAGCGAGUGCGACGGUGGAGCGGAGCAGCGGCGGCGCUGCUUUCCUGCUCGCUCCUCUGGCGUCUGGCUCGAGCCCGUCUGCGUGUGCGCCCCCUGUGUCGCUGUGUCUCCUCGCCUCUCUCCUGCGCGAUUUGUGUCGAUGGCUUCGUUGCUGACGCACCCCACCGAGUCCUCCAGGCUCCGCCGUGUGGAGUUGCCACGCCGUAUGUGACGGGUUGCAGCGCACCGACGCGACUGUGGGGAGAGAAGCACUGCAUCCAGGUCGACUACACUGCAGGGCCUCACAGGGCCCUGACCGGAGGCUGGGCAGCAUUCUCCCUCGGCUCGUGCGGCACGUAGAGCCACCGCUCCCCACGAACGCCCUGCUACCCUUGGUUACCCCCUCCCCACCGACAGAGGCCAGCGCCUCCGUCAUGGAGCACGACCCUGAGGGGGCGGCCCGCUGGGAGCGCGGCGUGCCGUGCGCCCCGGUGCGUGUGGCGCCGAUGCAGCGGCAGGACGGCUCGUCCUCGACGACGCGGAUGUGGCCGCCGUGCCACAGGGCGUAGGCGGGCCGUGGCUGUACGCGCGCAUCUGCCGGCUUGUGCGUGGUGGCGUGGAGGCGGUGAGAAGGAAGUGCAUGCCUCGCGGACUCGGACAGACAUGCGAAUCAGCACAUCUAAACACAAGCAAAACGACGCGUGCAUAUAUGCACCGAUAUCUAUAUAUAUAUGGGUGUGUGGAUGUCUGGAACGACAAAACCGCCAAACGCCUGUUAUUACGCUGUCCUCGCCUGGCAGGGCGGGGGGCGUGCGUGCGCUUGCUUCUCCUCUCUUGCUUGUCCUGUGUUUCCUUUGCGGCACGCCUUCCUGCGCGCGUGCCUGGUAUUUAUCAUGCUUGCUUCCGUUGUCCGACUCGUUCAAACCAACAGCGUCACCGCCGCCACUGCCGCCCCCCUCCUCCGCGAGAGGGCAGGGUAGGGGGUGCAGGCGGCGCUCCUUGCUGCUGCCCGUGGUGGGGCCGCGCCAUGUACGUGCAGGUGUGCGCGCGCCCUCCGGCAGCGCAGCCGCUUUCUGCGCCGAUGCCUCAUCAUGUGCCCCACUCUUCUCUCUGCUGCACGUUGGUGCGCGGGCCAUGGGUGCUCCUCGAGGAUGCGCGGUGGUGCAGAGGAGCCGAUCAUCCGUGAGCGGCGCAGACACGCACACGCGCACACGAGGCACUCACAUGCGCACCUGAUGGCGCUCAUACUCGUCCAGGGGUGAGGCGCGAUGCGGAGAAGCACGGCGUAGAGUCUGUGUGCUGUGCGGCUGCUUGCCCGCUGGAGCGCUCUUGGCGGCGUUGGCUGUGUGAGGGGUGGCAAUGGUGGAGGGCGGCUGGUGUGUGUGUGUGCGAGCGCGUGAGUCCGGGGAGUGGAGGGGUGUGUUCAUUGGUGGAGGAGCAUGCUGACGAGCUGCGGCUCGCGUGCCCGCCGCCCUCGGCCCGGCGCCACGCAGACGCCGUCUGUGCUGCCCAUGUGUGCUGCUCUUCGUUCCCCCACCCCCUUCGCGGCGGUGCCGUCUCCGUGGAUGCUGGGUCCGUGUGCACCCGCCGCGCAUCUGCCUGCUAUGUGCAGUGAACGGGAUGGGCGGUGUCGGCGGUUCGUGGCGGCGGUGGCGCUGCGUGGGUGGGCGGUGCUGCGGCCCCCUGCACACACGUACAGAGAGGCCCCUCCGCCCCUCUCGCACCCUCCCCCUGCCCCCUGCCCCCUGCGCACAUGCGGCUCGAGCGGCCUGGCACAGGCGCGCCUACAGGACACCGCGGAAAGGCGAAAACAGAAGCGAGAAGCUGCCCACGAUAAGCCGUGUAGCUGCGGCUCUUGGCGCUGCAGCUCCCUCGUCCUCGCUGUGCGCCGCGCCGCUACGUGGCACCCGCGGCUAGGCGACGGCGUGCAUGGGCGGAGGGAAGGCCAGCGGGUGCGGGGCGUGGGAGGCGAUGCAGCGCGUCCCAGAGAGGGCUAGCGAGAAAUGCCCCCCUCCCCUCUCCCCCCGUCCUCUCUCGCUUGGCCCCCCUCGCCUGCGCUCCCGUGUCUCCCUCGCUGCCGUUGCGGCCCGUCUCUCGCAUCCGCCGGCCGCACCCCUGCCUAUGUGCCAGCCAAUGGCCCAUGCGCCCCCGCUGUGCACGCGCCCCAGUGUCACUUGCCUGUCUCGUCACCACUGCCUCCCCCGCCUGUCUCUCCCCGUCUCUCCGUCCCUCUCUUCCUCCCCCCCCCUGCACACUGCUGCCCACGCCGCCCAUCCCUCCUCGGCCCCUCACAACACACCCGCACACAACAACACGCCCAACAACAACGCGUGCGCGCGCACGCCACCGCAACACAG